GGUGUUUUACACACACGCAUGUACACGCGCAGGCGCACGCGCACACACGGAGGGGCUUACGAGUCUGUGAGAGAUUUAUUGUGCCAUCUCGUUGAUGCCUGCUUACCUUGUUGGCUAGGUAAAAAGUCAGUGAAAAGAAAACUGAACCAGUGAGUUGUGAAUUGUUUCUUUCGAACUGCGUUUAGCUUCUGGCUUCUGGAAAUCAGAACAAAAGCAUACAAGAAUCUACAGCUUUCUCAGCCUGGUAUAGAAUGACAUUUAAGACACAAGGAACUGGGAUACAGGCCAGAAGCUCAGGAGGGUGAGAGGAUUCACCAGAGACAGAGCGGGGAGCAGAACAGGCAGACAGACUGAAAACACUGCUGAGGAGAGCAGCAGGCGAGACAGGAGAGGUCUGCCGCGCCAUGUGGCUGUCUCCCUCAACGACCGGGAUUCGAACCCGCAUUGCAGAGGUUGUGGACAGCUUCACAGUGCUGCACUCAACCCACUGCGCCACCGGGGAAGCCCUGGAAAUGUUAUUUUGACUGUGGUGAUGUAUAUAUAUGUUAAAAUUGAUCCAAUUGUACACUUUAAAUAUUUGCAGUUUAGUAUACCAAUAAAGCGAUAAAAUAGGGGGUUAGCAAUGAAAGAAAAAAAUAUUGUUCUAAUAUCCUGUAGAAUAGUCUGAUUCUUUAAGAGUAGCCUAUGUUUUCCAUAAUUCAAGAGAGUUCAUUUAAUUAGGUCAGUUUUAUAAUUUCUCAAUUUUGACAGUAAAUGGUUUUCACAACACUGACACCUUUAUUUUUAAAUCUGGACAUGUUUUGAAAAGUUGAAGAGUGUUAGGAUUCUUUCUCAGUAAGUGGCAUAUCUGUCUCAAAUGUCUUUGUUUGCAAGAAUUUCUAAGAGGAAUAAACUACUCUCACUGCACCCAGGAUUUUAUGUGGUUUUGGAACUGUAAAAAAAAAAAAAAAGAAU